ACACUCCUGCGGGAGGCAGCAGUGGGGAAUAUUGGACAAUGGGCGCAAGCCUGAUCCAGCCAUGCCGCGUGAGUGAUGAAGGCCCUAGGGUUGUAAAGCUCUUUCACCGGUGAAGAAAUGACGGUAACCGGAGAAGAAGCCCCGGCUAACUUCGUGCCAGCAGCCGCGGUAAUACGAAGGGGGCUAGCGUUGUUCGGAUUUACUGGGCGUAAAGCGCACGUAGGCGGACUAUUAAGUCAGGGGUGAAAUCCCGGGGCUCAACCCCGGAACUGCCUUUGAUACUGGUAGUCUUGAGUUCGAGAGAGGUGAGUGGAAUUCCGAGUGUAGAGGUGAAAUUCGUAGAUAUUCGGAGGAACACCAGUGGCGAAGGCGGCUCACUGGCUCGAUACUGACGCUGAGGUGCGAAAGCGUGGGGAGCAAACAGGAUUAGAAACCCCGGUAGUCCCAUGA
rnacentral:rRNA from 1 species